rfam:Ornithorhynchus anatinus chromosome 1, whole genome shotgun sequence.
CCCUUCUGAGAAUCACACCUGGAGAGUUUCCAGUACUCUACCUGUCUUGGUUACAGGAGGGAGAGUCAAGCAGAGGCAUUCCCCUUCCAUUCCUAGCUUGGGCAGUGGCUAGCAAGUGGAAGGCAAUCUGCUAUAAGU